GAAGAUUCUUCACUUCAAACCAUGAAUUGAAAACGGAUUCAUGCUUAUCGGUGCCAGAAAAUGUAAGUUGUAUCCCCAGGCUACAAUCAACAUUGCCACCUCGAUUCUUGCAGUUAUUAGUCCUGAUAGCGCAGUCCUGAUUGUUGAGGCACACAAAGUUAGAGUUGCCUGAGCAAGACGAGCAGCCAUCUCUCUUCCAAUACAAGUUUUCCAGCCU
rnacentral:lncRNA from 1 species